UUCCUCUGAAGGAUAGAUGGAAUACAUAAUGAAGCUGUUACAUUCCGUAAAGCGAAUAUGAUUGGACAAAUUAUGAGACGAAAUGUCUUCAACUUAUUCGCAAACUUUCAAUAAAUAUGACGUCUUGCUUGCUUGAAUGAAGUGUUGACAUUGAAUGUGUUAGCCCACUUGAGCUAUUUUUCGUAAACAAAAUUGGCGCUGUUAGGAUGAACCA
rnacentral:ncRNA from 1 species